rnacentral:rRNA from 1 species
GGAGUUUGGACCGUCUCUCAGUUCCAAUGUGGCCGAUCACCCUCUCAGGUCGGCUACCGAUCGUCGACUUGGUGGGCCGUUACCUCACCAACUAUCUAAUCGGACGCGAGCCCACCCCAAACCGGUUUGCACCUUUUACCUCUGCACCAUGUGAUGCCGUGGUCUUAUGCGGUAUUAGCACCUGUUUCCAAGUGUUAUCCCCCUGUCUGGGACAGGUUGCUCACGCGUUACUCACCCGUCCGCCACUCGAAUCAAUCCUUCCGGCCGAAGCUUUCCAAAUUGAUCCUCGUUCGACUUGCAUGUGUUAAGCACGCCGCCAGCGUUCGUCCUCGAGCCAUGAUCAAACUCU